CCUACGGGUGGCAGCAGUGGGGAAUAUUGCACAAUGGGGGAAACCCUGAUGCAGCGACGCCGCGUGAGUGAAGAAGUAAUUCGUUAUGUAAAGCUCUAUCAGAAGGGAAGAAAAUGACGGUACCUGAGUAAGAAGCCCCGGCUAACAACGUGUCAGCAGCCGCGGUAAUACGUAGGGGGCAAGCGUUAUCCGGGUUUACUGGGGGGAAAGGGAGCGUAGACGGCAGUGCAAGUCUGGAGUGAAAGGCGGGGGCUCAACCCCCGGACUGCUCUGGAAACUGUACGGCUGGAGUGCAGGAGAGGUAAGUGGAAUUCCUAGUGUAGCGGUGAAAUGCGUAGAUAUUAGGAGGAACACCAGUGGCGAAGGCGGCUUACUGGACUGUAACUGACGUUGAGGCUCGAAAGCGUGGGGAGCAAACAGGAUUAGAUACCCUGGUAGUC
rnacentral:rRNA from 1 species